rnacentral:piRNA from 1 species
GUGAGAUGCUGUUCAGGUAGUC